rnacentral:tRNA from 5 species
UAGCUCAGCUGGGAGAGCGCCUGCUUUGCACGCAGGAGGUCUGCGGUUCGAUCCC